rnacentral:rRNA from 1 species
AACGCGAAGAACCUUACCAGCCCUUGACAUCCCGGUCGCGGGAACGAGAGAUCGAUCCCUUCAGUUCGGCUGGACCGGAGACAGGUGCUGCAUGGCUGUCGUCAGCUCGUGUCGUGAGAUGUUGGGUUAAGUCCCGCAACGAGCGCAACCCUCGUCCUAUGUUGCCAGCGGGUAAUGCCGGGGACUCAUAGGAGACUGCCGGGGUCAACUCGGAGGAAGGUGGGGAUGACGUCAAGUCAUCAUGCCCCUUAAGUCUUGGGCUGCAAACAUGCUACAAUGGCCGGUACAGAGGGCUGCGAGACCGCAAGGUGGAGCGAAUCUCAAAAAGCCGGUCUCAGUUCGGAUUGGGGUCUGCAACUCGACCCCAUGAAGUCGGAGUCGCUAGUAAUCGCGAAUCAGCAACGUCGCGGUGAAUACGUUCCCGGGCCUUGUACACACCGCAUAC